rnacentral:rRNA from 1 species
CAGCCAGGCCGGCGCAAAAUUACGCAAUUCCGACACGGGGGGAGGUAGUGACAAUAAAUAACAAUACUGGGGCAUUUAUGUCUGGUAAUUGGAAUGAGUACAAUGUAAAUAUCUUAACGAGUAUCCAUUGGAGGGCAAGUCUGGUGCCAGCAGCCGCGGUAAUUCCAGCUCCAAUAGCGUAUAUUUAAGUUGUUGCAGUUAAAAAGCUCGUAGUUGGAUUUCGGAUGUGUUGUCGCGGUCUGCCUCUGGUAUGUACUGCGUUCGAUGCAUCUUUCUGCUGGGGACGAGCUCCUGGGCUUCACUGUCUGGGACUCGGAAUCAGCGAAGUGACCUUGAGCAAACAAGAGUGUUCAAAGCAAGCCUACGCUCUGAAUUUUUUAGCAUGGAAUCACACGAUAGGACUCUGGCCUAUCUUGUUGGUCUGUAGGACCGGAGUAAUGAUUAAGAGGGACAGUCGGGGGCAUUCGUAUUUCAUUGUCAGAGGUGAAAUUCUUGGAUUUAUGAAAGACGAACUUCUGCGAAAGCAUUUGCCAAGGAUGUUUUCAUUGAUCAAGAACGAAAGUUGGGGGCUCGAAGACGAUUAGAUACCGUCGUAGUCUCAACCAUAAACGAUGGCCGACUAAGGGAUUGGGCAGGUGUUACAUUGGAUGACYCUGCCAGCACCUUAUGAGAAAUCAAGUUUU